rnacentral:lncRNA from 1 species
UACUACCUGAUUCUUUAUACGCUGAGACCAUCAGAGAAAUUCAUUCACCAAUAGAGCAAAAUUGGGACUCUUUGAGACAAUCGGCACGUCAAACUGCAGCAGGAAGGGCACUAUGGAAACAAGUGAUCAAUGAUCCAUUAGCAGAGUUACUUGCAGGGGAGACAUACCUGAAGAAGUUGUAUGAGAAGAUUAAGAAAGACAUCCUCAACAGUGCUAGAGAGGUUUCUGGAGUUAUCAUUGCUGUUAGGACACUAUGGUUUGAUAAAAGAAUUGAAGCAGCUCUUAAUUCCUUUGAUGGUGGAGGAGCACAAGUUGUCAUUCUAGGAGCAGGUAAGUGAUGUUUCAACAUGAUCUCUUGUGCUGUAUAUACCUUGUGACAUUUUAGAUAUAGAGAUGUAUACUUCUCAGGACACUAUGGUUUGACAAAAGAAUUGAAGCAGCUCUUAAUUCCUUUGAUGGAGGAGCACAAAUUGUCAUUCUUGGAGCAGGUAAGUGAUGUUUCAACAUGAUCUCUUGCACCAUAUAUACCCUGUGACAUUUUAGAUGUGCACGUAUACUUCCUGCAACUCAAUACCAAUUGAAUAGUUCUCAUUUAGUAAUUAGUAGCCAGUGGCAGGGAGAAGAGGUGUCAUCCGACACAGCUUCACAUCAAAUUGGGACCUGAAGUAAAGCCUUGAAACAAUCGCAGUCCUAAAUCCAAAUAAACGUUUCAAGUCUGAAAUGUGACAAUACAUUGAUAUCGUUUAUGCAAAAUCCUGUAUACACCCUGUUAGUAGCCAGUCAUUUAACUAAUCAGUUGCCACUAACCCCAUCACAGGAAAUUAAUAUGUCAGUGAUUCAUAUACCAACUAAACGUUAACAAGAUGCAACAGAUUCCAGCUCCAAAUCCCCAAAUUACUAGACAUCAACUGGCGAUACACUAAUCUUAUCCGAUGAAAAAAAUGGUCUCCCAUUUAAUACAAUCCUUUCACUUAGGAGCAACUAUGACUAUGUUUAGAUAAAAGAAUUCUAGAAAAAACAAAUAUCGACUAGGUAAUUUGAUACGUCCAUUUAAAAUUUGAUGAACAGAAUGUUAUUUAGUUCCUUUGAGUUAUGGCCUCAAUAUGGAGAUUGAACACUGAAUAGACAUAAAUUGUCCACCACAAGAGGGUAUGCAUGUUUCACCUAGUAUUUUCAUUGCUCACUCCUUGGAAGCUAUUCUAUUUCAUUUAGAGAAAAUGUUAUAGAGCAAACCAGUAUUGUCUGUACUAUCUCUCGCACUCAAAUGCAAUGGAAGUACUGAAGAUUAUCGCAAAUAACUAUACCUUUGAUCAUACAGUACUCUUAGCGGACUUCAUGAACAAGUAAUCAACCACAAUGUCCAGCUCAAAUUUCCAUUUCUAUAGCGACUAUCCUGAUCAGUUAUUGCCAUCACUAGGAUUUUCUGAUUUUAAACUUUCUCAAAUUGGUGACCCAGAUGCUCAUUUUGGGCUGUUGCAUAACCCAUUAAAUUUGUUCAACAAGUUGCGCAACUUGCCCAGGUCACUUCAAACUCACCCAGAUGAUGGAACACCAUGUUGUAGGUUGUACCUGCUUCAAGCCUCUGGAGAGCCACCAAAUCAAACUAUUUUCUGAAUAUUAUAAGAAUAGUUCACCAAUAAAGUCUAACAUACUGUUAAGAUUAGAAGCACUCCUCAUUGAUUGUAACUGUCAUCUUACCAAUUAGCUAUACAUGUGACUAUGUUAUUUAACCUGUGACUAGUAGACUUUUUAUGUUUUCAAGAUCUAGGUAAUACUUAGAAAGGCUUCAUGAUAUCAUGUUUCAAGCACCUUCUUUCCCCUCUUUUAGCUAGCACUGAAUAAGUUAACCAAAAUUACAUUCUAGGCACGAGCAGCAAACCAAUGAACAAAAUUAGUGAUCGGAAAGUUUCGGGAUGGUAAAAUUUUAUGCUAUUAAUAGAUACAACGAGUGAAGAGGAAACAAACCUAUAAGUUGCAACUCGAUUUCACCGAACGAGUUCACCUGCGAAAGAGAUGGCACAAAGCAAGUUCUCUAGUUGAGAAAAUUAUUUGAAAUUAGGGCAAACUGAUCCCUAAAUAGGAUCUAUAUUUGGAGUUGAUACAACCCAUUAGAGGAAUUUGUGUCGGGUGGCGAUGAAGCAGCGGUGAAGGAGCAGAGGGAAUUUCAGAAAGGGUGAAAUAUUUUAGUGGUGAAAAAUUUGAAAUUGGGCAGAAUAUUUCAGCGGGUAUUCCUUUUGUCAGAGAAAAUUUUAAUAGUACGUUUUAGAGUACAC